GAUCAGCCACACUGGGAUUGAGAACGGCCCAGACUCCUACGGGAGGCAGCAGUAAGGGAUAUUGCACAAUGGGGGAAACCCUGAUGCAGCAACGCCGCGUGGGUGAAGAAGGCUUUCGAGUCGUAAAACCCUUUUCUAGGGGAAGAGGAAGGACAGUACCCUAGGAACAAGUCUCGGCUAACUACGUGCCAGCAGCCGCGGUAAGACGUAGGAGGCGAGCGUUAUCCGGAUUCAUUGGGCGUAAAGGGCAAGUAGGCGGUUGUCAAAGUUGGGCGUGACAUCUCCUGGCUUAACUAGGAGGGGUCGUUCAAAACUAGGCGACUAGAGGGCAGAAGAGGAAAGCGGAACUCCUGAUGUAGCGGUGGAAUGCUCAGAUAUCAGGAAGAACACCAGUGGCGAAGGCGGCUUUCUGGUCUGCACCUGACGCUGAGAGGCGAAGGCCAGGGUAGCGAACGGGCUUAGAUACCCCGGUAGUCCUGGCAGUAAACGGUGGAUACUAGGUAUCAGGGGUCAAGGCCUUUGGUGCCGAAGCCAACGCGUUAAGUAUCCCGCCUGGGGACUACGGCCGCAAGGUUAAAACUCAAAGGAAUUGACGGGGACCCGCACAAGCAGCGGAGCGUGUGGUUUAAUUCGAUGCAACACGAAGAACCUCACCUGGGUUUGACAUAUACGUAGUAGGGAACCGAAAGGGGACCGACGCUUCGGCGAGCGUAUACAGGUGCUGCAUGGCUGUCGUCAGCUCGUGCCGUGAGGUGUUAGGUUAAGUCCUACAACGAGCGCAACCCUUGUUGCCAGUUACAAGUUACUGGCGAGACUGCUGGCAUAUAACCAGAGGAAGGUGGGGAUGACGUCAAGUCAGCAUGGCCUUUAUAUCCAGGGCUACACACACGCUACAAUGGCCGGUACAGAGGGCAGCAAAGUCGCGAGGCGGAGCGAAUCUCACAAAGCCGGUCUCAGUUCAGAUUGCAGGCUGCAACCCGCCUGCAUGAAGUCGGAGUUGCUAGUAACCGCAGGUCAGCAAUACUGCGGUGAAUACGUUCCCGGGUCUUGUACACACCGCCCGUCACGUCAUGGGAGCUGGCAAUACCUAAAGUCGGUGAGCCGACCGCAAGGGGGCAACUGCCUAAGGUAGGGUUAGUGACUGGGACGAAGUCGUAACAAGGUAGCCGUACCGGAAGGUGCGGCUG
rnacentral:rRNA from 1 species